rnacentral:rRNA from 1 species
AGCAGCCGCGGUAAUUCCAGCUCCAAUAGCGUAUAUUAAAGUUGUUGCAGUUAAAAAGCUCGUAGUUGAAUUUCGGGAUUAGUACGCUGGUCAUACCUCUGGUAUGUACUGGUGUUACUGAUUCCUACCUUCUGACGAAUCGUCAUGUCAUUAAUUUGGUGUGGCGGGGAAUCAGGACUGUUACUUUAGAAAAAAUUAGAGUGUUUAAAGCAGGCUCGCGCUUGAAUACAUUAGCAUGGAGUAAUGAAAUAGGACGUUUGAUCCUAUUUUGUUGGUUUCUAGGAUUGACGUAAUGAUUAAUAGGGAUAGUUGGGGGCGAU